GGCAGUCCUUGACGAAGGAACCGCGCUACAUGUGGGGAUAUGAAUACAAAACACAAAACAUGUAUCUCAAAGUAAAAUGCCACCAAGGGGCUCAAACAUUGCCUCCUAUCGAGGUCUUCCAGCUAAGAAAGCGAUAAAGUAUGAGAGAGGGAAAAAAUUACCACACGGAUAAAGAUCCGAAGUUACAGCAAUUAAAGGAAUGGGAAACCCAGGGAUCCUUCCAAGCUAAACACCAUUAAAGAAAGUGAGUCAGUACAGGUAAUCGGAAUGAAACCUCCAG
rnacentral:lncRNA from 1 species